rnacentral:rRNA from 1 species
AGCGAACGCUGGCGGCAGGCCUAACACAUGCAAGUCGAACGAAGUCUUCGGACUUAGUGGCGGACGGGUGAGUAACACGUGGGAACGUGCCCUUUGGUACGGAAUAACUCAGGGAAACUUGAGCUAAUACCGUAUGUGCCCUUCGGGGGAAAGAUUUAUCGCCAUUGGAGCGGCCCGCGUCUGAUUAGCUAGUUGGUGAGGUAAAGGCUCACAAAGGCGACGAUCAGUAGCUGGUUUGAGAGGAUGAUCAGCCACAUUGGGACUGAGACACGGCCCAAACUCCUACGGGAGGCAGCAGUGGGGAAUCUUGCGCAAUGGGCGAAAGCCUGACGCAGCCAUGCCGCGUGAAUGAUGAAGGUCUUAGGAUUGUAAAAUUCUUUCACCGGGGACGAUAAUGACGGUACCCGGAGAGGAAGCCCCGGCUAACUUCGUGCCAGCAGCCGCGGUAA